rnacentral:lncRNA from 1 species
GGAAAGAGGGACAGAGUGGAUUUUACAACCAGAAUAAAGCUGGGAAAUGCCCCCGUGAAUGGAGCCAAAGAAAGGUUGGAGUUUGGGGUAUGGUGUGUAUUUGAAGAUUCAAACUCCACGUGGUCUUCAGGAGCUCAAACACUCUCACACAGAACAGAAAGGAAGUCUCCAAAACGAAUGUGAAAUUGACAAAUCACCGCACUGGUA